rnacentral:lncRNA from 1 species
AUGGUGGAGCUGUCUCCAUGUUGUCCUCAGAUGAAACUGAUAUAUAGUUCUAUUUCUGCCAGUUCCUUUCAGCCAAUUAGUAUCUUUAAUAUAUGGCAGGUAAACAAGUUCCCUACCUACUCCCUCUUCCUCUUGUCUCCUCCCUUUUUGUACCAGUUGAUAAACCAGGUAAACAAGUUCCCUACCUACUCCCUUUACCUCUUGUCUCCUCCCUUUUUGUACCAGUUGAUAAACCAGGUAAACAAGUUCCCUACCUACUCCCUCUUCCUCUUGUCUCCUCCCUUUUUGUACCAGUUGAUAAACCAGGUAAACAAGUUCCCUACCUACUCCCUCUUCCUCUUGUCUCCUCCCUUUUUGUACCAGUUGAUAAACCAGGUAAACAAGUUCCCUACCUACUCCCUCUUCCUCUUGUCUCCUCCCUUUUUGUACCAGUUGAUAAACCAGGUAAACAAGUUCCCUACCUACUCCCUUUUCCUCUUGUCUCCUCCCUUUUUGUACCAGUUGAUAAACCAGGUAAACAAGUUCCCUACCUACUCCCUCUUCCUCUUGUCUCCUCCCUUUUUGUACCAGUUGAUAAACCAGGUAAACAAGUUCCCUACCUUCUCCCUUUUCCUCUUGUCUCCUCCCUUUUUGUACCAGUUGAUAAACCAGGUAAACAAGUUCCCUACCUACUCCCUCUUCCUCUUGUCUCCUCCCUUUUCCUCUUGUCUCCUCCCUUUUCCUCUUGUCUCCUCCCUUUUUGUACCAGUUGAUAAACCAAGCAGACAAGUUCCCUACCUACUCCCUUUUCCUCUUGUCUCCUCCCUUUUUGUACCAGUUGAUAAACCAGGUAAACAAGUUCCCUACCUACUCCCUCUUCCUCUUGUCUCCUCCCUUUUUGUACCAGUUGAUAAACCAGGUAAACAAGUUCCCUACCUACUCCCUCUUCCUCUUGUCUCCUCCCUUUUUGUACCAGUUGAUAAACCAGGUAAACAAGUUCCCUACCUACUCCCUCUUCCUCUUGUCUCCUCCCUUUUUGUACCAGUUGAUAAACCAGGUAAACAAGUUCCCUACCUACUCCCUCUUCCUCUUGUCUCCUCCCUUUUUGUACCAGUUGAUAAACCAGGUAAACAAGUUCCCUACCUUCUCCCUCUUCCUCUUGCCUCCUCCAUUUCUGUGGUAGGGCUGCAAUCAGUUGGUUGUAAGUUUGGAUGGAGCAGAUAUUCACAUAUAUUUUCAAUAACUGCAUAUGUGACAUAA